rnacentral:rRNA from 1 species
GAAUGACUCUCGGCAACGGAUAUCACGGCUCUUGCAUCGAUGAAGAACGUAGCGAAAUGCGAUACUUGGUGUGAAUUGCAGAAUCCCGUGAACCAUCGAGUCUUUGAACGCAAGUUGCGCCCGAAGCCAUUAGGCCGAGGGCACGCCUGCCUGGGUGUCACAC